UGCCAGAGUUAUAUCUCCUUGCAGUACUCGACUGGUUUCCUACUGAAGCUAAGCAGACUUGAGCCUGGUCAGUACCUGGCUGGGAAACCUUCUUGGGAAAACUAAGUGGUGUUAGUGA
rnacentral:rRNA from 1 species